ensembl:lncRNA
GGUAAGUACGUCAAAUGUAACUGGGACUUCACUUGGGCAUACAGGCGAGUGUACAACACAAUAUGCUGGCUUUAGCUUUGGGCAUACGCUUACGGUGAAUAUACAGGGAAACAGGAAGUGAUGUAACUCACAGACCUUCGAGGGAAUAGACGUCAGACGUUCCUUUUCUGAGGCUUCUACCAACUGCUGAUAGAGAGGCGGAUCGAAAACUACUGUUGCGUUGGGCCGAACACGGCCUCCGCUGGCGUCACACACAGGUAAGUUGUUUCACCCGGGGUGUACUACACUGGAUGGGUCGAACGCUUCCCUCUUCUUUCUACCAACCGACAAGGCAAGAGAUAUAGACAGGGGCGAACCUUUGAAGAACUCCACAGCAGGUAAUAAUACACGCACAGCUGAUUUCCUCCUACAGCAGCCAACUCCUCACCAUUAAUACUUCCCAAUAGAUCCACACUGUUCUUACUUGAAAUUGUUUCCCACCACCGUCACGUGGGGAAGAAGGGUCAGGAUGUCAUCGACGGCAUAUAAUUGGAGAUGUUUUCUUCGCCCCCCUCGGUACUCACUUCCUUCACAGGAUUUUGUCGGGCCUGAAAGGUGGUUGUUGACAACACAACACAGCACAACACUGCAAUUUUCAAGUGUAUACACUCACAGCAAAGGACAAAGACUCCACGAGACACUCCACACACUCUUGGUGAAUUUAGGGUCAAAACCCCGUCUGACCAAAGACUCGUCCUGGAAAUCGUGGAGACACUGAUGCCACGAAUAUUCAGAUUUAAACGUCGCCGCCACGACACCCCAACGUCCUCUCUCGCUCACUGGUCCCGGCUCACCCACA